rnacentral:hammerhead_ribozyme from 1 species
AUCGAGCUGACGGGUCCCAAAUAGGACGAAAAGUGCGUUGUCGAU